rnacentral:rRNA from 1 species
UACGAAGGGGGCUAGCGUUGUUCGGAAUUACUGGGCGUAAAGCGCACGUAGGCGGAUAUUUAAGUCAGGGGUGAAAUCCCAGAGCUCAACUCUGGAACUGCCUUUGAUACUGGGUAUCUCGAGUAUGGAAGAGGUGAGUGGAAUUCCGAGUGUAGAGGUGAAAUUCGUAGAUAUUGGGAAGAACACCGGUGGCGAAGGCGGCGACCUGGUCCGAUACUGACGCUGAGGCGCGAAAGCGUGGGGAGCAAACAGG